CUUGUACUCCCUCCAUCCGAAAAUACUUGUCAUUGAAAUGGAUGUAUCUAGAUGUAUUUUAGUUCUAGACACAUCCAUUUUGAUGACAAGUAAUUCCGGACGGAGGGAGUACUUG
rfam:Triticum aestivum genome assembly, contig: Triticum_aestivum_CS42_TGACv1_scaffold_577708_7BL